rnacentral:rRNA from 1 species
CGGGGUGCAGCAGGCGCGAAAACUUUGCAAUGCGGGAAACCGUGACAAGGGAACUCUGAGUGCCCGUUAAAUCGGGCUGUCCAUCGGUUUAAAUAACCGGUGAAGAAAGGGCCGGGCAAGACCGGUGCCAGCCGCCGCGGUAAUACCGGCGGCUCGAGUGGUGGCCACUAUUACUGGGCUUAAAGCGUUCGUAGCUGGUUUGUUAAGUCUCUGGGGAAAUCUUCCGGCUUAACCGGAAGGCGUCUCAGGGAUACUGGCAGACUAGGGACCGGGAGAGGUGAGAGGUACUCCAGGGGUAGGAGUGAAAUCCUGUAAUCCUUGGGGGACCACCUGUGGCGAAGGCGUCUCACCAGAACGGCUCCGACAGUGAGGGACGAAAGCUGGGGGAGCAAACCGGAUUAGAUACCCGGGUAGUCCCAGCUGUAAACGAUGUGCGUUAGGUGUAUCGGUGACCACGAGUCACCGAGGUGCCGAAGAGAAAUCGUGAAACGUACCGCCUGGGAAGUACGGUCGCAAGGCUGAAACUUAAAGGAAUUGGCGGGGGAGCAC